rnacentral:rRNA from 1 species
CAGGCCUAACACAUGCAAGUCGAACGAUACCUUUCGGGGUAUAGUGGCGCACGGGUGCGUAACGCGUGGGAAUCUGCCCUUGGGUUCGGGAUAACCGUUGGAAACGACGGCUAAUACCGGAUGAUGACGUAAGUCCAAAGAUUUAUCGCCCAGGGAUGAGCCCGCGUAGGAUUAGCUAGUUGGUGGGGUAAAGGCCUACCAAGGCGACGAUCCUUAGCUGGUCUGAGAGGAUGAUCAGCCACACUGGGACUGAGACACGGCCCAGACUCCUACGGGAGGCAGCAGUGGGGAAUAUUGGACAAUGGGCGAAAGCCUGAUCCAGCAAUGCCGCGUGAGUGAUGAAGGCCUUAGGGUUGUAAAGCUCUUUUACCCGGGAUGAUAAUGACAGUACCGGGAGAAUAAGCCCCGGCUAACUUCGUGCCAGCAGCCGCGGUAAU